GACGAACGCUGGCGGCGUGCUUAACACAUGCAAGUCGAACGCAGUGGCGGACGGGUGAGUAACACGUGGGUAACCUACCCAUCAGAGGGGGACAACAGUUGGAAACGACUGCUAAUACCGCAUACUGAUGGAGGGGAUUGCGUCUGAUUAGCUAGUUGGAGGGGUAACGGCCCACCAAGGCGAUGAUCAGUAGCCUGUCUGAGGGGAUGAACGGGCAAAUUGGGACUGAGACACGGCCCAGACGCCUACGGGAGGGAGCAGGGGGGAAUCUUCCGCAAUGGAGGAAAGUCUGACGGAGCAACGCCGCGUGAGGGAUGACGGCCUUCGGGUUGUAAAGCUCUGUUAAUCGGGACGCGGUACCGGAAUAGAAAGCCACGGCUAACUACGUGCCAGCAGCCGCGGUAAUAC
rnacentral:rRNA from 1 species